rnacentral:rRNA from 1 species
AACGAACGCUGGCGGCAUGCCUAACACAUGCAAGUCGAACGAGACCUUCGGGUCUAGUGGCGCACGGGUGCGUAACGCGUGGGAACCUGCCCUCAGGUUCGGAAUAACUCUCCGACAGGGGUGCUAAUACCGGAUAAUGUCUUCGGACCAAAGAUUUAUCGCCCUUGGAUGGGCCCGCGUUGGAUUCGCUAGUUGGUAGGGUAAAAGCCUACCACGGCGACGAUCCAUAGCUGGUUUGAGAGGAUGAUCAGCCACACUGGGACUAGGACACGGCCCGGACUCCUCCGGGAGGCGGCAGUGGGGGAUAUUGGACAAUGGGCGAAAGCCUGAUCCAGCAAUGCCGCGUGAGUGAUGAAGGCCUUAGGGUUGUAAAGCUCUUUUAACCGGGAUGAUAAUGACAGUACCGGGAGAAUAAGCUCCGGCUAACUCCGUG